rnacentral:rRNA from 1 species
UACGGAGGAUUCGAGCGUUAUCCGGAUUUAUUGGGUUUAAAUGGUGCGUAGGCGGCUUUUAAGUCAGCGGUGAAAUUUUGCAGCUUAACUGUAACAGUGCCGUUGAUACUGGGGAGCUAGGAUUUGGUUGCUGUGGGUGGAAUGUGUGGUGUAGCGGUGAAAUGCUUAGAGAUCACACAGAAUAUCGAUUGCGAAGGCAGCUCACAAAGCCAAGAUUGACGCUGAGGCACGAAAGUGUGGGGAUCAAACAGGAUUA